GAAGACCCUGGAGGAGAGGGCUGUGGAAACCGUGGCCGAAAAGGCCGGCUCACUGCAGCUGAGCGGCAUCCAGGCUCUGUACCGAGAGGAGUCCUGCACCAGGAAGAUGAGCACAGAAGAUUCCAGAGCCCGAGCUCGUUCCCCGGAGAGGAAAUUCAUUGUCCAAACCAAGAGACAGAGCCCCUCCGGGCCUGGAGACCUGGAGGAACCAUCAGAUCAGGAGCCAAGGCUGCUGCUUGCUGUCAGAUCACCCUCAGGUCGAAGGUUUGUACGCCAUUUCCGGCCAACCGACAACUUACAGACCGUUGUUGCUGUGGCUGAGCACAAGAACAAGGCCAGCUACCGACACUGCAGCGUUGAAACGAUGGAGGUGCCCAGGAGACGUUUCUCUGACCUCACCAAAUCUCUGCAAGAGUGCAGAAUCCCCCACAAGUCGGUGCUGGGCAUCUCCCAGGAAGAUGGGGAGGGGUGGCCAUGAGUCUGCAGCCACCCAGCUGGGGUCCUGGGUCUCUGAGCAAGGAGCGUGCUCAGGUGCCAUGGCCUCCCAGGCAGCUUGGUUCGAAGUGCCAUGUGAACCUGGUGUGGCUGUGAUGCUUGGGACUCUUGUCUUCACAGCAUCUCCUUUGAAGCAGUGAAAUUUGCACAGGCACUGGGUGCCUUAAGAAGAUUCUCUUCCAGUUGUUAAAUUCUCUCCACCACUGGGAUGAACUGGCAAGUUCCCGAGGCGGUUCCUGAAACAGCUGCAACCAGGCCUUCUCCUUUCCAGAGUUUUGGGUCCCUCUGGAGCACCUGUUUGCCUUUACAAUGAACUCUCACUCUCUUGAAGCCAAUGGUUUGCCUUUCUGUAUUUGAUGCGGGAUUAAACACUUCCCAGAGAGGAUUCUAGUCUGGUAAAUAACCAGGGUUCAGGAAAUGUCGACGUGGCAUUUGUAUUUCUUGCAAGCAUCUUUGAGAAACAGGCGGUUGACCCUCUCGUGGAAGGAGCCCCUUUGCUGGGCUCGACGUGUCGAGGUUUUUGGGGAUUACUGUUUGUGUGAGGUGGCUUCAGAGGAAAGAGCAGCUCUUUUGCUAAUACAAACAUGCCAGCACAUCAACAUUGCUAAGCAGUCUGAGAGCUGGAAAGUCACUUGCUACCACAACCGUGGAUUAGCCAGUAGCUACUUUUUAAGAGAGACUGACGAGAUUUUACAACUUUUGAUCAUAGCACCACGCUCGUCUGUGUGGCAAGAGAUGCCUGAAUUUCUCCCCAGAAUAAUUCCACGUACUCUCCUUUUGAAGCUGGCAAGAACAGACUAUAUCAGAAUUUCAGAGUUCUUGGUGGCUCUGCACCAAUUAGGCACCCUGGCCUACUGGGCUAAACUGGGCCCAGUGUGCUACUCUUGGUGGCCCUGGGUAGGUCACUUUGCCCACCCUGUGGUCACAGACCUCAGUCAUCCAUUUAACCAACAGUCACUGAGGGCCUACCCUCUGCCACACUUGGUGUCAGGCGUUGGUGCCCUAGCAAGAGAGCAUGGGCAAGAAAAUCUGAAACACCUCUGGACUCCGAACUCAAAGCGCUGGAAGGCAGUAGCUGGAGCUUCACCGGGAAGGCCCCUGGAGUGA
rnacentral:lncRNA from 1 species